CGUAUGAAAUUUUUUUCUUUGUUUUGCGGCUGGGGUCUCUGCCUUUCUUGGGGGAUCUGAACCUGCUUUUAAGUAGCUGUAUCUGCUGUGCGUGUCCCUACGAUGCCCUUCAGUUCUCUAAAGGAGAUGAAGGGGUUAUCUCCCUUUUUCUGACCUGGUGAUGGAGGAGCCAAUGUGCAUUCCUUCCUUUCACUACAGCCUCAUUUCUGGAACGCUUCAAUUAAUCCCCUGGUAAUGCUGGUCAGCUGACCAAGCAUUGCUGCUCUGGGAAUGCCUGGAGCUGCUGCCCUGUUCCACAAAUGUGUUCUGCGUUCUCAGGAUCCUGUUUGCACCUUUACUUCUAACCUUGCUUCCUUCUGCUGGAGCCUCUGUUCUGUCUUUCAUGGUUCUCGCCUUACUAUCUUCGCCCUCAGGCUCCGAACUCAGUUUCUCUGCUCUGCACAUCAUCCCAGCCCAUUUCGUGACUGCAGUAAACAGUGCCAUGCAUUAAUUCCACCCAUGCAGAGAGUUGUUUAAGGCCGUUCUGUGCAUCAUGAUCAUGUACUAAAUUUUGUUCUGUGUCUCUCUUGAUCUCAUCCCAUCUCACAACUCAAUGGGGUGGAAGGAUUGCCGGGGCUCCUCUAAUUAACGGCUUAAGCACUGGGAAAUCUACCAGAGCAGGUAAUGGAACAUCACGAGCCCCUCAUUUGUGCAUUGCUUGCAUGCAGGCAGCUUUAGCGAUGGCUGUGGGAGGCUCAUGGAAUGGGGGUUGCAAGUGGCUCACCUUGCUCCAUGGGGUCUGUUAUCCCAGCCCCAUAAGCUACAUGGUUGGUGAUAGAGUGAGGUGCAUCAGCCGGGUCCUAAGCUGAAGAAAACUCCUGGACUCCAGUAGCCCUUGGCUUCAUCCUCACUCGGCAUAAUACAGUCGUCAUCACUUGAGCAUGCUGACCACAGAUGUUCUGUUCCUGUUUUGCCUGGUUCUCUCCCAUAUCUCCCUUAUGAAGUUGUCAAUGCUAAUCGAUCCCAGCGCAUAGUCAUCAGAGCACAUUGUGGCUGACCAUCCCCGGGUCCUAUGGUUCUUUCUGUUUUAACAGCAGAUCUGGCUUUAUUUUUACAGAAAAUAAGGGAUUGUUUUCUUCUGGACCACUGUAGUUGGGAUCACCCCAGGUAUCUCCAUCCCAAUUCUCAGGGGAUGCUAUUAGUUCUCUAAUCUGUACGAUACCUGAACCCCCACCCCUCUUUCUCCCAUCCCUAACCCCCAUUAAAUAGCUAUCCCUGCAGCUGUGGGACCCGAUGGUGUGACAAAGCGAGGCCUCUGGUCUGCCGAACACUGGGACCGGCACAGAGAGGCCCUGUGGCCAUUGUGGAUUGUACCGACAGCUGCACUCGUCCCAGGCGUCUCGCUGUGGCGCUGCUGGUAAGAGGAAUGUGCACAAGGUGCAGCCCCUGCAUGUGCGGGGCAGAGCCUUCAUUACUGUAUUGUGCUCAACGGGUGGCAGCAAGGAACUGUGGUGCUCCUGGGCAGUGCCAGAACUGCAUGGAGAUCUGUGGCUCUUCAUGAAGUCAGCAAGAAAUGGAAAGCUGGAUUCCCUAGAAUGCCCUGGAACCUGACUUUGCUGACUGGUAACUCACUGCCCAUACGGGUAAGGGCAAUGUACACCUACCAGCGUUUACCCAUUCCGUAGCGUGGCUCCAUGUAAUGCUGCCAGAGCUUGUUACUAUGCUUAAAGGUUCCCUACAGGCUGCUGGUCCUCCUCCUCCUGCUUUCUCCUUGCCUCUGGCCUGUCUAAUCUAAUCCAGACUAGUCAUCAUAAAAGAGCAACUCAGAGUGCAGUACAACUCAGAACCCAUUGAGGCCCUGCACUUGCAGACCCUACACCUACACUGUAGUGCUGCUGCUCCCACCCCUGUCCCUCUCGUCUCCUGGGCACCAUUUCUAAACUAGCUCUGCAGCUCUGGAACUCGAUGCUUUGAAGAAGGAAGGCCCUCAGACUCAACUUAGUUGACUGGUUGCCCUGAUAGGUAAGGGCAAUGUACACCCACCAGUGUUUACCUAUUACGUAGCAUGGCUCAACCUAGUGUUCCCAGAGCUCGUUACUGUACUUGAGGGUGCCCUACAGGCUGCCUGUCCAUUAUGUCAUAUGUUCUCCUUGUCUCUGGCCUUUCCCUGCGGUGUUCUCCUUGCUUUUGCCUUGGCUUUCUCUGGCUGUUUUUGUUGCCCUCGCCUGGGCUUUCCUUGGCGCGUUCACGUUGGCCCUCGCCUGGGCCUUCCUUGGCACGUUCUUGUUGGCCUCAUUUUGACUUUCCCUUGGGCAUUCUAACUGCCUUUGCCUUGCUGUUCCCUUGGGUUUUCUUCUUGCCUUUUCUUCACUGGGAUUGGCUAAGAGGCAGCAUUAAUGUUAAUCUUGACCUCAACCCCGCACUUAAUGGGAGCUCUACAGAUAAUUAUAUUAACCCACAAUGUAAUUUGAAACCUUACUCUUAACCCGAUGCUAAAAAAUGUCGAUAACGCUCCACGUAGCAGUAAAAACAAAGCCUGGAGUUUUCUAAGUAACCGUAACCCUCAUCGUAAUGUAAGAAACUACUGUUGAACUAACCGCAACCUUAAUCCUAAAAGUAGCUUAGAUUAUAACCCUAAUGCUCCUGAAAACCAUGGUUAUGUCCUCAUCCUAAAAAUCCACUAAAACUAAUCCAGACAAGUCACUGUAAAAAUAACAUUAACAGUAACCUCAGUCCUAAAAUAAUGCUAACUGUAACUGUAAUUACCCUGUUUAUUAAUGUGUAAACCCUCUUUUGAAAACAUAGCCUACUGUAAUGGUAAUAGGCCAAGUGUUGAGUAAUGCUGGAUGCACUGGCCACUCUAACCACUGUAGAUGACAACUCUGAACACACACUGAGACCCUGCACUUCCAGACCCUACACAUACGCUGUAGCGCUGCUGCCCCCUCCCCUCUCCCUUCUGUUUCCCUGGCACCAUUUCCAAGCUAGCUCUGCAGCUGUGGGACUCGAUGGCUCAAAGAAGGUCAGCCCUCGGACUGCUGCUUGCUGGGACUGGCACGGAAUGGCUCUGUGGCGGGUCCAGUAGAGCCCGUGGAUCGUACAGUCAGCUGCACUUGGUGAGUUUCCCAGAGCUGCUGAGCUCACAGGCUUCCCUGCCUGCCCCAACCGUGCCCUGAUUUCCAAACUCCUUUGCAUCAUCGUGUCUCACAGUCCCAGGCAUCUCGCUGCGGUGCUGCUGGUGGCAGCAGAGAACUGCGGUGCUCCUCUGCGGUGCCAGAACUGCAUGGAGAUCUGUGGCUCUUCAUGAAGUCAGCAAGAAAUGGAAAGCUGCAUUUCCUGAAAUGGCCCAGAACCCACCUUGUCUGUCUGGUAACUGGUUGCCCAUACAGGUCAAAAACAGAGCGAAUCCAUGAGAAAAUUGUGACUGGGAGCCCCGCUGUUAUGAGGACGCUUGUAAGUCUCAAGCGUGGUGCCUGUGUUCAGAACACCCGGAGGCAGAUCCCAGCACCGGUUGUGAAGGGAAGAACUGCCGACGAAUCGCUCCGUAUCAAAACUGAUCCUGUGGAUAUUUUCAAGCCUUGGGCAAACCGGACGGAAGUCUUCUACUUCAUACCCUUCUUAACAAUAAUUGCUGUGUUGUUUUUUUUCCCCCUCAUCAGGGACUUGACCUAUUGGGCAGGACCUUUCCUGUAUAAUUGAUAGCAGCUUGGUGAGUCCAUCAGCCUCUGCUUCUCUGCGGGUGCAGUCGAGCCUGUGGAUCGUAGAGAUGGGUGCGCCCGCCCCAGGUGUCUCGCUGCGGUGCUGCUGGUAAGAGCAGUGUGCACAGGUUGCAGCCCCUGCAUGUGCAGGGCCGAGCCUUCAUUAUUGCAUUGUGUUCAACGGGUGGUAGCAGCGAACUGUGGUGCUUCUGGGCGGUGUCAGAACUGCAUGGAGAUCUGUGCCUCUUCAUGAAGUCAGCAAGAAAUGGAAAGCUCCAUUUCUUGGGAUGCCGCGGAUCUCAGCUUUCCUGACUCUGUGCUGGUUGUUGUA